CAGCCGCCGCGGUAAUACGUAGGGUCCGAGCGUUGUCCGGAAUUAUUGGGCGUAAAGAGCUCGUAGGCGGUUUGUCGCGUCUGCUGUGAAAACUGGAGGCUCAACCUCCAGCCUGCAGUGGGUACGGGCAGACUAGAGUGCGGUAGGGGAGAUUGGAAUUCCUGGUGUAGCGGUGGAAUGCGCAGAUAUCAGGAGGAACACCGAUGGCGAAGGCAGAUCUCUGGGCCGUAACUGACGCUGAGGAGCGAAAGCAUGGGGAGCGAACAGGAUUAGAUACCCCAGUAGUCCCUGUCUCUUAUAU
rnacentral:rRNA from 1 species